GGACCCGCACAAGCGGUGGAGCAUGUGGUUUAAUUCGAUGCAACGCGAAAAACCUUACCUACACUUGACAUACUUGGAAUCUUUUGUAAUGAAAGAGUGCCUUUUGGAGCCAAGAUACAGGUGCUGCAUGGCUGUCGUCAGCUCGUGUCGUGAGAUGUUGGGUUAAGUCCCAUAACGAGCGCAACCCUUACCCUUAUUUGCCAGCGAUUCGGUCGGGAACUAUAAGGGGACUGCCGGUGAUAAACCGGAGGAAGGUGAGGACGACGUCAAGUCAUCAUGGCCCUUACGUGUAGGGCUACACACGUGCUACAAUGGGGAGUACAGAUAGACGCUACUUCGCGAGAAGAUGCAAAUCUCAAAAAGCUGUCUCAGUUCGGAUUGUUGUCUGCAACUCGACAACAUGAAGUCGGAAUCGCUAGUAAUCG
rnacentral:rRNA from 1 species